rnacentral:tRNA from 1 species
GAGACAGAUAGCUCAGUUGGGAGAGCACCUAACAGAGAUGUUAGAAGUGGUCGUGGGUUCGAGCCCCACUCUGACUCU